GAGGUAAGUUGCAUGACAAGCCUAUUCUUCGGUGUUAUUUGAUAAAAUCUCUUAAACUAUUUAAAAAAAAAAAAAAGACAAAAAAUAAUGAAAAGAUAACAAAAGAAAACGAUACAAUGACCAUCGGCCCCACCAACCCCGUAUUAAGACACAAAAAAGAUGGCGCGAUCACAGGCAUGAGAAAACAACCCACGGUACCCAUAUCUAUUUCCUAGGAAAAAAUCAGGCUGACGUGAGUGGGACCCAUUGCCUGAAAGCGCGGCCAAAGGUCGGAACAAAGUAAAAGCCCAACUCCUCCUCGUUGUGGCCCUUUUCGUACAGUCGCUUAUUUUGUCACCAAACAUUCUCCUGCAACCCGGUUGUUGGAGAUGGGAGAGGCGACCCCGCCCCUCCGUUUCCGUGCGUUUUAGGGCUCAGGCGGAAUAUCCUUUGUGCACGUAACAAUGACGGGUGCUCCAUAUGUGUUGUUGAGAGCAGAGGAGGAGGAGCUUAGGAGCCAUGAGCAGCAGUCUCACUCUAUCCCUCCUUCUCAACCUCGGCUCGCAUCUCUUGAUGUAUUCCGUGGCUUCACAGUCGCUUUGAUGAUCUUUGUUGAUUAUGCUGGUUCAAUAAUUCCUUUUGUGGCUCAUGCUCCUUGGGAUGGUCUAAGGCUGGCCGAUUUUGUUAUGCCCUUUUUCCUCUUGAUUGCUGGAAUUUCUAUUGGACUCGUCUACAAGAGAGUAUCACACAAAAUUAUUGCAACUCGUAAGGCAACGUGGAGGGCAUUAAAACUCUUCUUUCUAGGUAUUAUUAUACAAGGUGGGUAUUUCCAUGGUAUAAAUCAUUUCACAUUUGGUGUUGACAUUCAUUAGAUAUGUUGGCUUGGUAUCCUUCAGGAUCCAAGGACGAGGACGACAAGUGGCUUGGUAUGAGUCAGAUGGCCUAUAUUAUUUCAAUUUAACUUGGUGAAUUGUUCUGUCCGAGGUGAUCUUGGACCGGCUUGCAAUUCUGCUGGAAUGAUUGAUCAUUAUAUUCUUGGUAUUGAACAUUUGUAUAAGAAGCCCCUUUACAGAAACUUGAAGGUUGGUUCUUUCUGGAUAUAUGGACCACAUGGACAAUGUUGAUGUACUUGUGUUAGCAAAAUUUUCUCUCCCUCUUUCAGGAGUGUCAGAGUUUGAAUGACCACCAUGUGGAAAAUAUACCUUCCUGGUGUUUAGCCCCAUUUGAACCUGAAGACAUUUUAAGCAUGCUUCUGAUACGAUAUGUGUGCAUGGCAACAUGCUACUGAUGAGAUCCUAUGUGAUAUGUGCGGAUGGGCACAUGCUGUGUGAUAUGAUGGGCUGAGCACCUACUGUGUGAUUGAUGGUGCCAGCAGCUGAGAUCUAGGCAUCUACUAUGUGAAUGAUGGUGCCGACAGAUGAGAUCUUUCCCCGACUCUCUGUGAUAGGAUGAGAAUUAAGAUGUGAGUGUUUGAGAGGGUCGCGCCCCCCCAAAAUUAUGUGUGAGGUACUAUCCAUUGGACCCCUUUGGUAGUGUAAUGCCCUCCAGCCAGAAGGGCAAGGAGAGGGUCGUGUCGUGUAAGGCCUCCGCCUAUCAAAAGCCCCAAAGUGCGUUGGGAACUAUGUGCGUGUGUGAGGUACUACGCAACGGGUUUACCUGUUGGUGGUGCUUCUUCCUAUGGGAUAGUAGAAGUUCUAACUUUGGACCGAAGUCUGGGACCUGAGAUUGGUGCUUCUACUGCAGGACUUUUGUUGUUGUGAAUGCCUACUGCAGAACUUCAAUUGUUGUGAAUGCCUAUUGCAGAACUUUUGUUGUUGUGAAUGCAUACUGCAGGACUUCUGUUGUUGGGAAUGCUUACUGCAGAACUUCUGUUGUUGUGAUUGCUUGAUCGCAGGACUUCUGUUGUUGUGAAUGCUUACUGCAGGAUUCUGUGGCUGUGAAUGCUUGGUUGAUUAUAUCUGAUACUUAAUGUUGAUAUUAACAUGAA